AGGUUGGUGCAAAAGUAAUUAGUUUUUGCCAUUACUUUCAGUGACAAAAAACUGUAAUUACUUUUGUACCAACCUAAUA
rnacentral:miRNA from 1 species